rnacentral:pre_miRNA from 1 species
AGAAGAAUAACAGUGCAGUUUUCCUUUGGCAGAAAACCUAGCUACUGCUGCCUUGCAAUUUGGGCUGCUUAAUUUCCGCCAAAGGAGAAUUGCCCUGCCAUUCACCC